rnacentral:rRNA from 1 species
CGGACGGGUGAGUAACGCGUGGGUAACCUACCCUGUACAGGGGGAUAACAGUCAGAAAUGACUGCUAAUACCGCAUAAGACCACAGCACCGCAUGGUGCAGGGGUAAAAACUCCGGUGGUACAGGAUGGACCCGCGUCUGAUUAGCUGGUUGGUGAGGUAACGGCUCACCAAGGCGACGAUCAGUGGCCGGCUUGAGAGAGUGAACGGCCACAUUGGGACUGAGACACGGCCCAA